rnacentral:rRNA from 1 species
GAUGAACGCUGGCGGCGUGCUUAACACAUGCAAGUCGAACGAUGAAGCCCAGCUUGCUGGGUGGAUUAGUGGCGAACGGGUGAGUAACACGUGAGUAACCUGCCCUUAACUCUGGGAUAAGCCUGGGAAACUGGGUCUAAUACCGGAUAGGAGCGUCCACCGCAUGGUGGGUGUUGGAAAGAUUUAUCGGUUUUGGAUGGACUCGCGGCCUAUCAGCUUGUUGGUGAGGUAAUGGCUCACCAAGGCGACGACGGGUAGCCGGCCUGAGAGGGUGACCGGCCACACUGGGACUGAGACACGGCCCAGACUCCUACGGGAGGCAGCAGUGGGGAAUAUUGCACAAUGGGCGCAAGCCUGAUGCAGCGACGCCGCGUGGGGGAUGACGGCCUUCGGGUUGUAAACCUCUUUCAGUAGGGAAGAAGCGAAAGUGACGGUACCUGCAGAAGAAGCACCGGCUAACUACGU